GAGUUUGAUCCUGGCUCAGGAUGAACGCUGGCGGCGUGCCUAAUACAUGCAAGUCGAGCGAACUGAUUAGAAGCUUGCUUCUAUGACGUUAGCGGCGGACGGGUGAGUAACACGUGGGCAACCUGCCUGUAAGACUGGGAUAACUUCGGGAAACCGAAGCUAAUACCGGAUAGGAUCUUCUCCUUCAUGGGAGAUGAUUGAAAGAUGGUUUCGGCUAUCACUUACAGAUGGGCCCGCGGUGCAUUAGCUAGUUGGUGAGGUAACGGCUCACCAAGGCAACGAUGCAUAGCCGACCUGAGAGGGUGAUCGGCCACACUGGGACUGAGACACGGCCCAGACUCCUACGGGAGGCAGCAGUAGGGAAUCUUCCGCAAUGGACGAAAGUCUGACGGAGCAACGCCGCGUGAGUGAUGAAGGCUUUCGGGUCGUAAAACUCUGUUGUUAGGGAAGAACAAGUAUGAGAGUAACUGCUCGUACCUUGACGGUACCUAACCAGAAAGCCACGGCUAACUACGUGCCAGCAGCCGCGGUAAUACGUAGGUGGCAAGCGUUAUCCGGAAUUAUUGGGCGUAAAGCGCGCGCAGGCGGUUUCUUAAGUCUGAUGUGAAAGCCCACGGCUCAACCGUGGAGGGUCAUUGGAAACUGGGGAACUUGAGUGCAGAAGAGAAAAGCGGAAUUCCACGUGUAGCGGUGAAAUGCGUAAAGAUGUGGAGGAACACCAGUGGCGAAGGCGGCUUUUUGGUCUGUACUGACGCUGAGGCGCGAAGCGUGGGGAGCAACAGGAUAAAUACCCUGGUAGUCCACCCCGUAACAUGAAUGCUAAGUGUUAAGGGUUUCCGCCCUUUAUGCUGCAGCUAACGCAUUAAGCACUCCGCCUGGGGAGUACGGUCGCAAGACUGAAAGUCAAAGGAAUUGACGGGGGCCCGCACAAGCGGUGGAGCAUGUGGUUUAAUUCGAAGCAACGCGAAGAACCUUACCAGGUCUUGACAUCCUCUGACAACUCUAGAGAUAGAGCGUUCCCCUUCGGGGGACAGAGUGACAGGUGGUGCAUGGUUGUCGUCAGCUCGUGUCGUGAGAUGUU
rnacentral:rRNA from 1 species